CGGGACGGGUGAGUAACGCGUGGAUAACCUGCCUCACACUGGGGGAUAACCGUUAGAAAUGACUGCUAAUACCGCAUAAGCGCACAGUACCGCAUGGUACAGUGUGAAAAACUCCGGUGGUGUGAGAUGGAUCCGCGUCUGAUUAGCCAGUUGGCGGGGUAACGGCCCACCAAAGCGACGAUCAGUAGCCGACCUGAGAGGGUGACCGGCCACAUUGGGACUGAGACACGGCCCAA
rnacentral:rRNA from 1 species